rnacentral:misc_RNA from 1 species
GAUGAAGAACGCAGCGAUAUGCGAUAAGUAAUGUGAAUUGCAGAAUUCAGUGAAUCAUCGAAUCUUUGAACGCACAUUGCGCCCGCCAGUAUUCUGGCGGGCAUGCCUGUUCGAGCGUCAUUACAACCCUCAGGCCCCCGGGCCUGGCGUUGGGGAUCGGCGGAGCCCCCCGUGGGCACACGCCGUCCCCCAAAUGCAGUGGCGGUCCCGCCGCAGCUUCCAUCGCGUAGUAGCUAACACCUCGCGACUGGAGAGCGGCGCGGCCACGCCGUAAAACACCCAACUCUUCUGAAGUUGACCUCGAAUCAGGUAGGAAUACCCGCUGAACUUAAGCAUAUCAAUAAGCGGAGGA